GACGAACCGUGCGAACGUUGUUCGGAAUCACUGGCUUAAAGGGCGCGUAGGCGGGUGUGCAAGUCUGUGGUGAAAGCCUCCAGCUUAACUGGAGAAGUGCCAUGAUACUGCACAUCGUGAGGAGGUAGGGCAUCUGGAAGCGGUCGGUGGAAGCGGUGAAUGCGUUGAUAUCGAUAGGAACUCCGGUGGCGAAGGCGGCAUACUGGACCACCUUCUGACGCUGAGGCGCGAAAGCCAGGGAGCAAAACGGG
rnacentral:rRNA from 1 species